UGGUAUGGGAGGUGUGCUUGCUGUUAGAUUUCUGGUUGGAUGUAGAAGGUUAUUGGGAUGAAAUUCUUCUUCCCUAAAUACAGGUAUUGACAUCAGGUGCCUAGUAUAGGGAUGCUGGCUAUACUUUAUAGUGAAGUUAAUUAAUUGGGGAAUUUUGGUACUGGAUGUUACAGCAGACCUGCUGUGUUUUUGCCAUAAACCAGGCGACAGCGGCUGGAGCAUUCCAGUGUUCGUUUCCAAAGUUGAGCAUGUGUAGCUACUUCGUCAGCCUCAUCAUUCCUGUGGUCUGUGAUCAGUCCAUAAUCCCUCAGUUAUUCUGAAUGCAACAGUUUUACUUCAUAUGUCUACAAGUAAAAAGGAAAGAGAACGGCAAUGAAAUACUGUGUUCUGUAAUCUCAGCACUGACCAAGUACCAUAUACAAACGUGAGAUGCCUACUCACAAGAUUAAUCCUCCAACAUCUACAAGCUCUUUCAGCUGCAACAUGAACAAGCAGCAAGCUCAGACUCAGAGCUGCUUUGAAUUACAUCGGCAGCAACAGCCCUAUGUGUUCAUGCUUGAAAAUGUGGAGUCCCUGCAAUGUGAUGGUACAUCUGAACUGGGAAGGGGAGGGUGUCACGGUUUUAAGAUGCUUCCUAUUGCUGGAGAAAGACUGUAAAAUUGCACUGACAGGUGUUUAAAAAAAGUCUUAUUUCCAGCUGUUGCAUAUGCACAAUUCACAAAAUAGCUGAGAAAUCGGAAGCAAUCUUAUGGAUUUCUAGUCAGACCUUUCUGACUGGAAGAUGGGACUGAGUAGGGAAAGCAAUAAUUCUGGUGCACUCAGAGUGAAGUAGUUACUAAUUUAAAAAAAAAUCACAAAGAAUAAAACCUGUAGGCAAAUCUACUAUAAUUAUUACUUGACUCACUCUGCAAAAGGCAGCUGCUGUAACUUUACAUGCACUUCCAGCAUCAGCUGCUGAUCUAAUGAGCUUUGGAAGACCAGCUCUGCCAGCCUGACAGCUCCAAGAAAUACAGAAGCGUGGAAAAAGUGGCAUUGAUGUUUCAAUAAGUGAGAUUAUUUCCUCUGAGUCAGCAUGAACAAAAUGCCAUGGAAGAGUGUUGGAUCUAAGAGGCACCACUUUUAAAUAAGACUUAAAACUGGGACCCAUCUUCUCACUGGGAGUGAGACACUCUCCAGUGCACAGAUGAUAAAUACCUGUACGUGGUCAUAGACUUGAAGGAAUCCAGACUCACAGUGGGAAAAUACAGAAGCAUUUUGGUUGUUUGCCAUAUGUGGGAACUUAAUAAACACUACUGGGUAUUUCUGCAUGGCACAAACUAGUUCCAAACGAAGUAAUUCAGAUCUCCUAAAUAGGACUCCUGUUGUAGCACUGGACCUUCAUCCAGAGAAGUUCUCUGCAGGUUGCUGCUCCAGUGCAGAGUGAGGUUUGUGUCUUUGUAACAUUGUGCCCCAAAGUCAUGGCUCUUUUCACCUUUUCGGUUAAGCCUCUAGCCCAGAUAUAACUUCUGGUGGUCUGGGUGUCUUGCUGCCAGCAGCUGAGUCCUAGAAAAAUGUUCAUAUUCCAAAUUAGACAAGGAGGAAUCAUAGGUUGGAAUUAAAUCUGUUUCCCAUUUGGCUUUGUUCUGAUCCACAAUUGUUCUCACAGUACAGUUAAAAAUAAAAUGACCUCUUUCUUUUUCUAACUGCUGUCAAAAUUGUCAUUCCCCACCAGGUGCGCUAACUUCCAACUGCUCCCCGCUGGUACUGCUGCCCCUGUUGUCUCUCAGUCCAAAGAGCUUCUGAACAAGAGACAUGCUUUUAUGGAGCCUGGCAAAGCUUCAGAAGGGAAAAGGAAAAAUCAAUACUGCUUCAAAGCAAAGUCUUUGCUUCAGUGAAUAUGACAUUUGCCCUUUCUUCACUAGUGGGAAAAACAACAAGGACACUUACUUACACCAGCAAUGGAAAUAGAAUGAAUGACAACAGAGCGACCUUCCAGGUUUAACUUGUAAAGGGAAAUGUCUUUAUAGCCAUUGUCCCUAUUUGGUGACAUCAAAAGCAUGUGUAGGGUAUUAGGUGGUGCAGUCUUAGAAUGAAGGGGAAAGUAACACAAAGUCAAAGAGAAGAGUUGAAGGAAUUUGGAACAAGUAAUAAUGGACUCAGCUGAAAAGAUGGAGAAUAAAAGACAGAAUAAAGGUGAAGUCCAUUGCUGCACAAUCAAAUCAACUACAAAAUGUCACCUGUAAAUGUGGGUCACAAUAUUAAAAGGACUUUCCAGUAAGUUUUACACCAUUUCAACAGCUUCACAGCUACUGAAAAUGACCACAGAAUUUCAGUUUGCCAAUGAAUGGCUUCUCACUAAGACUGAAGCAGGUCAGAAAUUUUCCAAGAGAAGUUGCAAGUACCAAUUAAAUAAAUAAAUGUUUCUACAAAAUCAAAGUAACUUUGAAAAGCCCUCAGUGAUGUUUCUGGAGGGUUUACAAAAAUGUCAAAUAAAUGUAAACCUUACAACUCUGCUUCAAUUCAUUUUCAUAUUCAAGUUUUCAUUAAUUUAAUUCCUGUUUAAUUCUGACUGCUUUUUGUUUCUAGUUCUUUUUGUUUCAAAACUAGAUGCUUGUUCCAAGUCCCUAAUUUCAUUCUUCUUUGACUAUGCCACUUCUUAGUUUUCCAAGUUGUUUUGUUUUGAUGUUUCUACUUCUGUCAUUUUUUUCACAUGCAACUUUGUGGACCUCUUUCUUUCAGAAUAAAACGCCUUGUUUCAAUAGGCUCUGUGUAAUUGUUUGAAAAUACUCUUUUUUUACAUUAAAAAAAGCAUUUUCCUUAUGUGAAGCCAUGUAAGCAGCUGCAGCUGCCCCCAGCAGUGGAUAAUUCGCAGCACCUACCUUCCCCCAGUGAGAGGGGAUGCUGGGUCAGAUGCUGUUGUUGCAGUCAUGUAAUGGAGCAGACUUCAUCCCUGGUGAAUCAAAUAGCACGACUUCUGAGGAGCACGCUCGUAGUGUAGCAGGACAGUCAUGUACUCAUACUCUGACCCCUGUACUUGUGCUGGGUGAGAGUUCUGCAGCUACACGAAUCAAUAAAAAUGUAUUGAUUUCUCCACACUGUCAUAAAGCUUGUCUGCUUUUAUCUGCAGUUUGCAAGCUGAAAAAGAAGACUGUAAAACUACAAUUGUCUUAGACUUUCUCUCUUUUUAUCACCCCCAUUCCGUGCUCCUUACACCAGAGACCAAGAUCUGUUUCUCACAAAGCCACCUGGCCAGGGAGCCAUAGCCCCACUUGCUG